CUGCAAGUGAAGCUGUUAUGUUAAUGAAUCAAAUUAGCACCUAGGAAAAAAUGUUGCGGUAGACAGAUUUCACGGAAAUUGGAAAUGGGCUCCGACGUGCUGCUUUGCUCUAAUUGUGUGCAGAGGUGUCUCGAUACAAAACAAAACCAUUCAGAAGUGCCCCCUCUGUGUUUUGCUGCAAAGUAACUGGAUAAAAAAAAUCAAUCAUCUUAUUCACAGCAAGUUUGUUUUUACUGAUCUUGUGCCUCUCAAUUACUUUUUAAUGGUCUGCAUUGAAAAGAAAUUCCUGUAUGCACACUUGAGAACAUGAAAACACCCAAAUGAUAGCUUAUGAUUUAGUAGGAUUAAAGUAUUAUGUAUGCAGGUGCAGCACGUUUCAGGUUAUUAGUAAUCCAAUCUAUUUUUUACGACAUUAUGGUGUAAUUUUCUGUAUAAAACUUCACUAUAAGUCUCGAGCUGCAUCGGAACAUAAACUAAAAUGUUCCUGACUCUGUCACUUUUCAUGGUCUUUACUUUGAUUAAUAAAUGCAAGCAGAGCUAUAACAUCCUGCAGUGAGAGGCCAUGAUCAUCCUUCAAUCAAAGCGUGUCCCCCCGAUUUCUGGAACUCUUUGCAGCGCAAUGCAGGGGAUGAGGAGCAGCUGCAGCACCCCCAGCUUGAACGGGCUGCAUGCCCUGCUCCCUGUGUCCAGACAUCUGGCACCUGCACUUGGGGUGAGUUUUGCUCUCCCCCCGUUGGGCACCUCAUGUAGAAAGCAGCUCCCCACGGCAGGGAAAUAACCCACAAGCCCGCCAGGUUGUUCUCUUUUAUUUCUGAAUUAUUCUUUACAUUGUACAAUAUAUAAAAAUACAGAGUACCCCAAAAAAUUUCACAGUGUCUAAAGGCAGUGAUUACAGUCUAGGUCACCUUUAUACUAAAGUACCAUCGAGUUCAAUUGCAUAGGAAGGGUGAUGUGCCUCCACUGCAGAGUCCAGUGACACGCUCCAGGUUUUGCUGUUUGGGACAAGAGUUCCAAUCGCAUCCCCCCCCAGCCCUGUGCCUGUUGUGCCCCCACCUCCAUCACACACUUGGCCCCAUCUCACUCUUCACACACCCUGAAGCCUCUGUGGGAGUGGGGCUGCAGCCUCAUGGCGUUUGUGUUUCUCGCAAUGGGUUGGUUUCAAAGCAAAGCAGGAUGGGGACUCUGGAAAGCCAAAUGCUGCUCUUAAACUGUGCACCCACCUCCCAUGGCAGGAGUGGGUUUGCAGCUGAUGCAGAGCAGAAGCAGUGGCGCAAAGGGAGGAUUUCAGGGCAGUAGGGUUGAGGCUGGAUGACCCCACAAGGACCUGUUCCCCACGAGGGGGUUUUUGGUCACUUUUGAAGGCAAUCACACAGCACCAAAACCUGUGGGUCUGCUCACCCAGCCCAAACCUGCCCUUGCAGCCUUCUCUGGUUUUCUCCUUACAGGCUCAAAGGGAAGAAUCCCCCAUGAGUCCAGUCCCUGCUCAGAAGGGGCACCCAGCCAUAGGGUGCUGCCCCUGCACCACAGCCUUAUUUGGAGCCCUCUGAAACCAAAAGCCAUUGGUGGACUCAGCAUCAGAUUAACACUGGAGGCAUCAAAUUAUC
ensembl:lncRNA